UGCCCGGGUUCAAGCGAUUCUCCUGCCUCAGCCUCCUGUGUAGCUGGGAUUACAGGCAUGUGCCACCACCCCCAGCAAUUUCUUUUUUCCAUAUUGGUGAUUCUCUUAUACCCAAGUGCUCAUUCAUCCUAGGCAAUUUUGCUUUUUCAGGUCAAAACAUUCGUAAAAGGAAAAAUACAGCAAAAAUAACUGAGCACCUUGGAGAAGAAAUCCAUAGGCCGCAUCUUCUAAAUACCAGUCUCUAAUCAACUAUUUUUUCUUUUACCUAGAAAGCCCUUUAAAUGUCCCAAACUCAAUUUAUUAUUUCUCUCCUCUUUUCUCUAAAACAGAAUAACACAUCUAGUUUUUAUUAUGGCAUCACUUCGAGUAUCUGAAAUCUUUCUACAACUUUCCACCUUUACUAUCUGCUCAUCUCUUAUCUACAUAAUUGGAAAAGACUUCUAGACUUGUGUCAUUGUCUGCAGAGUCUUUUCCCAACAGCUGUCAUCUAUACUUUUAUCUUAGUUGUUUCUAAAACGCAAGUCAAGUCCCAUCACGGCCUGCCCAUAAGCUCGGUAAGGACAUCCCAUUGCCUUUAAGGAAAGUCUAAAUGCCUUCGCAUAUGCUAACUGAUGGGAAGGAAAAAUUAUCUUACAAUUUUCAAGGCAAAUUUUAUCAGACAGUUUAACAUCAGUGUAUUACCAGUAUAAUAACAAUUAUAAAGUUAAUGUCCCCAAAUUAGCAUAAUUAACAUGGCACAGGCCUCUUUAAUAUUCUGAAAGAGAUACAUUGACAACUACAAAAUGAUUCAAUUGGUGGCAAAUUGCAUGCAAUAGAAAGUUUUAUAAUGUAUUUCCAUGGAAAAAAAAUCAUGUGAUGGAAAGGACAGGGGAGGCAGAGGAGGUGAUGUUAAGUAUUCACAUUGUAGCUAGUUGGUUUUAUGACUUGAAGCAAAUUUUAGAACCCAAUGUAUCUCACUGUAAUUAUCUAUUAUUUUCCAAUUGUCAGAAUAAUAGGCCAUAAGGUCCGACGGGAUUAUAAUAGGGUAUAAUAUUCAUUGUGUUAGUGAAUUUGGAACGUUAAAUGUGUUGCACCAAUGAAAGGCAAUAUAUAUAGUAAAAAGAGGACCAAUUUUGAAAGAGUCAAAUGAGAGAACCAUUUCAUACACACCCCCAAGCAGUGAAUUUAGAAAAGUUCAUUAGCCCCUGAGACUCAGUCUCUUCUCAUUCGUAUAAUGAAGGUAGGAUUACUGCAGGAAAGAAGUAUAUAAAGUAACUAGCCCAAUGCUAGAGUGAAGAAAUAGUGGAUCACUUCUCUUUGUAUAAUAUUCCUCCUUAAAAUUCCUUGGAGUUGUAUGUAAAAUAUGCACAUCAAUAAAAUAAGCAAAAAUACAGAAUAAAAUAUUAAAAUAAUAAUUUUUCCACAUCAGGUAUUCAUUGUGAAUCUUACCAACAGGUUAUUUUAUGAUUAAUUAUAUAGCCCUGGGAAAUGGAUCUUCAACUGAAUUAAGGAAAAGAGGCCUCCUUCCUUGUCCUGAGAAGGACUUCCCUGUCAGUAUCCCUGCAACCCCCUCCUCUCAACUGUGAUCCAACUGCUGAAACAAAGCCAAAUUGCUGCUGAGGCCCAGCAGGCAGAGGCUGGAAGCUUUCUGAGACAUUUCAGGCGCUGCCACCUUCCGGGAAGAAAGAGAAGCAUUGUGUCCAAUGGGGAAAAGAUCCUGAAAUUAUGUAAGGGAACACCAAAUAGGACCCAACAAGUAAAAAAGUGAAGGAAACUACUUCCAAUAUGGCAAAGUUGAUCCUCAAAUUCAGAACUAUUCCUUCCCAGCCCUGCAGACAAGUUCAACAUCUUAAGCAUGGGAAAACAAACCAGAUAAACAAAACCACAAAACA